AUUGAACGCUGGCGGCAUGCCUUACACAUGCAAGUCGAACGGCAGCACGGGUGCUUGCACCUGGUGGCGAGUGGCGAACGGGUGAGUAAUACAUCGGAACAUGUCCUGUAGCGGGGGAUAGCCCGGCGAAAGCCGGAUUAAUACCGCAUACGAUCUACGGAUGAAAGCGGGGGACCUUCGGGCCUCGCGCUAUAGGGUUGGCCGAUGGCUGAUUAGCUAGUUGGUGGGGUAAAGGCCUACCAAGGCGACGAUCAGUAGCUGGUCUGAGAGGACGACCAGCCACACUGGGACUGAGACACGGCCCAGACUCCUACGGGAGGCAGCAGUGGGGAAUUUUGGACAAAGGGCGAAAGCCUGAUCCAGCAAUGCCGCGUGUGUGAAGAAGGCCUUCGGGUUGUAAAGCACUUUUGUCCGGAAAGAAAUCCUUGGCCCUAAUACGGUCGGGGGAUGACGGUACCGGAAGAAUAAGCACCGGCUAACUACGUG
rnacentral:rRNA from 1 species